AGUCGGGAUUGGCAAUGGGAUGACCGAAAAUCCCGCCAGGUCCGGGAGGAAGCAACGGUAUUGGUUGUUUCAUGUGCGUAAAUCCCGGCUAUC
rnacentral:SRP_RNA from 1 species